UAUCUGGUUGAUCCUGCCAGUAGUCAUAUGCUUGUCUCAAAGAUUAAGCCAUGCAUGUCUAAGUAUAAGCACUUGUACUGUGAAACUGCGAAUGGCUCAUUAAAUCAGUUAUCGUUUAUUUGAUUGUACCUUUACUACUUGGAUAACCGUGGUAAUUCUAGAGCUAAUACAUGCGAAAAGUCCCGACUUCUGGAAGGAAUGUAUUUAUUAGAUUCAAAACCAAUGCGGGUUCUGCCCGGUCAUUUUGU
rnacentral:ncRNA from 1 species